rnacentral:misc_RNA from 1 species
UGCGGAGGGAUCAUUACCGAGUUAUACAACUCAUCAACCCUGUGAACAUACCUAAAACGUUGCUUCGGCGGGAACAGACGGCCCCGUAACACGGGCCGCCCCCGCCAGAGGACCCCCUAACUCUGUUUCUAUUAUGUUUCUUCUGAGUAAAACAAGCAAAUAAAUUAAAACUUUCAACAACGGAUCUCUUGGCUCUGGCAUCGAUGAAGAACGCAGCGAAAUGCGAUAAGUAAUGUGAAUUGCAGAAUUCAGUGAAUCAUCGAAUCUUUGAACGCACAUUGCGCCCGCCAGUAUUCUGGCGGGCAUGCCUGUUCGAGCGUCAUUACAACCCUCAGGCCCCCGGGCCCGGCGUUGGGGAUCGGCGAGGCGCCCCCUGCGGGCACACGCCGUCCCCCAAAUACAGUGGCGGUCCCGCCGCAGCUUCCAUUGCGUAGUAGCUAACACCUCGCAACUGGAGAGCGGCGCGGCCACGCCGUAAAACACCCAACUUCUGAAUGUUGACCUCGAAUCAGGUAGGAAUACCCGCUGAACUUAAG